UACGAAGGGGGCUAGCGUUGCUCGGAAUUACUGGGCGUAAAGGGUGCGUAGGUGGUUGUUUAAGUCUGCUGUGAAAGCCCCGGGCUCAACCUGGGAAUGGCAGUGGAUACUGGACAGCUAGAGUGCGGUAGAGGGUAGUGGAAUUCCCGGUGUAGCAGUGAAAUGCGUAGAGAUCGGGAGGAACACCAGUGGCGAAGGCGGCUACCUGGACCAGCACUGACACUGAAGCACGAAAGCGUGGGGAGCAAACAGG
rnacentral:rRNA from 1 species